GCUAAUUAUGUGUGGUUGUGGAGUAUUUUAUGAACCUCUGAAAUAUUUUAGCGAAUGGUCUAGUAACUGUUUAACUGAAAUGACAGAUAUUUAUUUCACUUCCUGAAAUUAGUGUUUGAAUGUAUACUGUAUGUGACAUAAUAAUUUUGACGUUGUCAUUGUGAAACGCACAACUCGCAUAUCACAUGGUACUCCCCCGAUAGUAUUGUGGAAAACGUAUUUGCUGGUGAAUUUAUGCGAAUAUUUUUUUCUUUCUUCCCUACUGAUCAUGUCUUCAAGAAACCAGAAAAAUAUUUUGUCAUUUUUCCAGAAAACUGAUUCAUCACCUGAGUCUUCUGUGCAAUGUAGACAUGAAAGUUCUGAACAGACUGUGCUAAGUGAACAAAGUGAAUGUAAAAGGAAUGAUACUGGUAUUUAUUGUGGUGGUACUAAAAAGGUUGAAAGCAAGAGGCAAUUCAGAAAGCAGUGGUGCGAUGAAUUUCAAUGGUUAACAUAUGAAAAUGGUAUAGCUCAGAAUGGAAGUUUAUAAUAUGAAUGGCCCACU
rnacentral:lncRNA from 1 species